rnacentral:snRNA from 2 species
AUACUUACCUGGACGGGGUUGACGGCUGAUCAAGGAGAGUCGUGGCCAAGGCUAGUGGUCCAUAUUGUACUUGGUGGAUGCGCUAGCUUACCAUCUUCCCAAGUGGGAGAAUAUGGUGGAUGUGCUAGCUUACCAUCUUCUCAAGUGGGAGAGUGGACGUCAUAAUUUAUGGUAUAGGGGGUACGCGUUUGUGCGGCCCUUG